GACGAACGCUGGCGGCGCUGCUUAACACAUGCAAGUCGAACGGAAAGGCCCUGCUUUUGUGGGGUGCUCGAGUGGCAAACGGGUGAGUAACACGUGAGUAACCUGCCCUUGACUUUGGGAUAACUUCAGGAAACUGGGGCUAAUACCGGAUAGGAGCUCCUGCUGCAUGGUGGGGGUUGGAAAGUUUCGGCGGUUGGGGAUGGACUCGCGGCUUAUCAGCUUGUUGGUGGGGUAGUGGCUUACCAAGGCUUUGACGGGUAGCCGGCCUGAGAGGGUGACCGGCCACAUUGGGACUGAGAUACGGCCCAGACUCCUACGGGAGGCAGCAGUGGGGAAUAUUGCACAAUGGGCGGAAGCCUGAUGCAGCAACGCCGCGUGCGGGAUGACGGCCUUCGGGUUGUAAACCGCUUUCGCCUGUGACGAAGCGUGAGUGACGGUAAUGGGUAAAGAAGCACCGGCUAACUACGUGCCAGCAGCCGCGGUGAUACGUAGGGUGCGAGCGUUGUCCGGAUUUAUUGGGCGUAAAGGGCUCGUAGGUGGUUGAUCGCGUCGGAAGUGUAAUCUUGGGGCUUAACCCUGAGCGUGCUUUCGAUACGGGUUGACUUGAGGAAGGUAGGGGAGAAUGGAAUUCCUGGUGGAGCGGUGGAAUGCGCAGAUAUCAGGAGGAACACCAGUGGCGAAGGCGGUUCUCUGGGCCUUUCCUGACGCUGAGGAGCGAAAGCGUGGGGAGCGAACAGGCUUAGAUACCCUGGUAGUCCACGCUGUAAACGGUGGGUACUAGGUGUGGGGUCCAUUCCACGGGUUCCGUGCCGUAGCUAACGCUUUAAGUACCCCGCCUGGGGAGUACGGCCGCAAGGCUAAAACUCAAAGGAAUUGACGGGGCCCCGCACAAGCGGCGGAGCAUGCGGAUUAAUUCGAUGCAACGCGUAGAACCUUACCUGGGUUUGACAUGGAUCGGGAGUGCUCAGAGAUGGGUGUGCCUCUUUUGGGGUCGGUUCACAGGUGGUGCAUGGCUGUCGUCAGCUCGUGUCGUGAGAUGUUGGGUUAAGUCCCGCAACGAGCGCAACCCUUGUUCACUGUUGCCAGCACGUUAUGGUGGGGACUCAGUGGAGACCGCCGGGGUCAACUCGGAGGAAGGUGGGGAUGACGUCAAGUCAUCAUGCCCCUUAUGUCCAGGGCUUCACGCAUGCUACAAUGGCUGGUACAGAGAGUGGCGAGCCUGUGAGGGUGAGCGAAUCUCGGAAAGUCGGUCUCAGUUCGGAUUGGGGUCUGCAACUCGACCUCAUGAAGUCGGAGUCGCUAGUAAUCGCAGAUCAGCAACGCUGCGGUGAAUACGUUCCCGGGGCU
rnacentral:rRNA from 1 species